UGGCGGACGGGUGAGUAAUGUCUGGGAAACUGCCCGAUGGAGGGGGAUAACUACUGGAAACGGUAGCUAAUACCGCGUAAUGUCUACGGACCAAAGCGGGGGACCUCCGGGCCUCGCGCCAUCAGAUGAACCCAUAUGGGAUUAGCUAGUAGGUAAGGUAACGGCUUACCUAGGCGACGAUCCCUAGCUGGUCUGAGAGGAUGAUCAGCCACACUGGAACUGAGACACGGUCCAG
rnacentral:rRNA from 1 species